CCCUUAGAUGUUCUGGGCUGCACGCGUGCUACACUGAUAUUGCCAAUAUGUCAUUCUUAUCCGAAAUGGAUUGGGCAAUCAAGUAAUGAAAUUUCAUGCUUGGAAUCGGUAAUUGCAAUUUUAUCGUGAACGAGGAAUUCCUAGUAAGCACUAGUCAUCAGCUAAUGUUGAUUAUGUCCCUGCCCUUUGUACACACCGCCCGUCGCUACUACUGAUUGGGUGUUCAAGUGAGAUGCUUAGACCCUUGUUGCAUGGUUCAUUAUUGUGCUCCGAAAGGAAAAAGUUUCAAGCUUGAGUGUCUAGAGGAAGUAAAAGUCGUAACA
rnacentral:rRNA from 1 species